rnacentral:rRNA from 1 species
UACGAAGGGGGCUAGCGUUGCUCGGAAUCACUGGGCGUAAAGGGUGCGUAGGCGGGUCUUUAAGUCAGGGGUGAAAUCCUGGAGCUCAACUCCAGAACUGCCUUUGAUACUGAGGAUCUUGAGUUCGGGAGAGGUGAGUGGAACUGCGAGUGUAGAGGUGAAAUUCGUAGAUAUUCGCAAGAACACCAGUGGCGAAGGCGGCUCACUGGCCCGAUACUGACGCUGAGGCACGAAGCGUGGGGAGCA